UCCCUGGAGGCUCAGACAGUAAAGCGUCUGCCUGUAAUGCAGGAGACCCAGGUUCAGUCCCUGGGUUGGGAA
rnacentral:tRNA from 1 species